CUCUUCCUCAUGUUCAGGUGGAACUUCCUGGGCAUCAGCUUCUGCCCAUUCCUCUUGUCCUGUUGCUGGGCGCCAUGGAGCAGAGCUUGGUUCAUCCUCUGACACCUCCCUGCUGACACUGAGGUCCUGCACAUGAAAGGCAGUGGGUGGUGUUCACAUGGCAUUGGGGCUGUGCUGCACUGCUGGCUUCAAUCUUGAUCCAUGUCUAGCCUUUGAGUUAGAUUUAUUCCCUGUGCUACCUAGGGACAGAAAGCUCUGCCUGACCAGUUUGCCAAGAAGCCAGAUGCUGAAAAACCCACCAGCCAUCUGAGCGUUCCCAUACCUGCUGGGACUGUUUUAGGUGUGUGCUGAGGCUCCCUCUCAAUUCCUCUGGAAGCAGCAGAAAGAGGGGAUAAAAUAUAGCAGGAAUCUGAGAACUGGAUUCAAAGCAACUACCAAACAUUUAUACAGGAGUUCAUAAUCUGAGCGGAAUCUUCUAAUCAGGGAGCUUCCCACCGUGGCUGGAACUCAUGUAGCAUUGUACAGACACGGGAUAAGCUUCACAAAGCCCCUGGGAGGCAAGUGAUCCCCUGGUCCCUGCAGACAAAAGAGAUCAAGAACACAACUGUGUGUGAAGGGAAAAAAAAAAAAAAAAAAAGA